GUUAAGAAACAGUAAAUAUUAAUAUUAAAGGUAUUUUUCAGCUGAUCAGACAAAAUGACAUUUAAUCCAAAAACCUUACUAUGAGUAAGAGAAUGACGUGUUAUGUGAAUAAUCUUGUUUGUGUGAACCCAAGUAGUGAGUUGUUUUUAGAUAUUGGACCUGAACUGUGUAUGUGGGUGAGUGUGCAAAGGACAGUUAGGCUGACACCUCAAAACUGAAUGUCCAGUCUGUAGUUUGUAAUGCAAAAGUCAGCACCUAAGCAGCAGAGAUGAGGCCAGAGUACAGGUAGAGAACAGUAGUAAUCAUAGAUAGUGUUUUAACUCAAUCAGUUAGAAACAGUUGCUGAGGAACCGCUUAACUGACCUUUGCACAGGAUGUAUGGGUGGGGUUUUGGGGAUAUAAGGUCUUGCAAAUGUAAGGAUCACGGAACUUCUUCUACUGAAACUCUGUGUGAGUGGAAGGGGUUCCCAGAGCUCUGUUGUAAUAAAUUGCUAAUUCGCUGAAGAUCUAAGUAUCCUGUCUCUCUAUCAACUCUACUUCGGGCUUCCAUCAAAAGAAUCAAGGGGAACGCACUGGAGCAGUUGAGGGUAGUGCUGUUUUUCCCAACAAUUUGGAGGCACCGCUGGGAUGGAGGUUUGGAGUUAGAGUGAAUUCGGACCUCAGAGACGAUCCUGUGAACCACUAGUCCAGCUGCAGCAAUAAAAUCAGGUAAGCAGAGCCUGUUUAAUCGAAAUCUGCAGAUUGGUCUAAGCUAAAUUUUGGACACAGUGGUCUCAUUUGAUUGCCUCCAUCUAAAACAAUAGAGAGACUGGAUCUGGGCACAUUGUAAAUAUCUAAAUUGGGGUGAAAUUUGGGGCAUUGUAUGUAGGUCUAUCGUUUUGUUUGUGGCUUGCUCGCUUGAGGGAUGAAUGGGACCAUAUAAGGGGUGAAGUACUUUUAGAGUAUGAGUGUCUAGUUUAAUUAAAAGAGUAGUUUAAAAAGUGUGAACGGGGGUCCUUAGGGAAAAGUGGGCAGUACUCCCACGAAACCACGGACGUGGCAACCCCACCUGGAUUCGGACGCGGGCCAGUAAAGCUAGGUUUUGGCGGUUCCUCGGGGUUGGUGGUCCUAGAAAUACCGAAGUUCUAUGACUGGGUUAUAGAGCGAUUCUGUGUAUGGCGUUUUGUCAGAGACAAGUAAUCUGUCUGUAUGUUUAGGUUAAAAUAUUGUAUAGCGCAAUCGGCUGCGUGUCCACUGGAGCUUAUGUGUGUGUGAACUCAUAUGUGUAGGUAACCAUGUCGCGUAGUUGUGAAGUUGCUGCAUACUAGUUUUAACUGUGUGAAUGUGGUUUAAAAUAUUGUAUAGCGCAAUCGGCUGCGUGCACACUGGUGCGUAGUUGUGAAGUUGCUGCAUACUAUUUUAACUGUGUGAAUGUGGUUUAAAAUAUUGUAUAGCGCAAUCGGCUGCGUGCACACUGGUGCGUAGUUGUGAAGUUGCUGCAUACUAGUUUUAACUGUGUGAAUGGGUGUGCAAGCCGAGAGGGCUUGAGUGUGAUUGGGGAGGCAGUUACAGGUAUUUGCUUCCGUCAGGGAUGGCUAUUUGAGGAUAGAAGUAAGCACGGCUCGGCCGGCUGGUCAGGGACCAGGAGUACCUAGCGUUGUGUAAAAGGAAACACACAAGAGUUGUCCUAGUGCGUUUAGGAUGAUCUUGUCAUACACAGAGUAUUGCUGUACAUUUGAGCAUUAAAAGAAAAGGGGUUUGAGUCCUCUAGCAAUGUGCUUUGCUUAAUGUUGUCUGUGUCUGCGGGGUGAAAUUAAAAUUGUAAAUUAUAGUGCCUGUAAAAUUUGUAAAAUUAAGCUAAGUGAUUGUGUGUGGCAGUGAGUGAGAGAGUGAUUGUGUGUGGCAGUGAGUGAGAGAGUGAUUGGGUGUGGCAGUGAGUGAGAGAGUGAUUGGGUGGGGCAGUGUGUGUGUUUGUGUGUGGGGCAGAGAGAGUGUGUGACAGUGGAUGAGAAAGUGUGUAUGUGACAGAGUGUGUGAGAGUAGGUGAAUAUUGCAGUAAGAGGGUGUGAGCGUGUGUAAGUGACGGAUUGUGUGAGUGUGUGUAUAUUGCAGUGAGUGUGUGUGAGCGUGUGCAUGUGACAGAGUGUGUGUGAGAGUGUGUAUAUUGCAGUGAGAGUGUGUGUAAGCAUGUGUGGAGCUCCGUCGGGCUCCGGUGAGAGGUAUGAGUGGAUGAAGGUACAGAGUGGUGUGUGAGAGAAAAUAAGAAGUACGGACGAGUCCCACUGCAGGGGAGGAGUCCAAGGCAGAGUAGGUGGUUAAAGUUGGGCCAAUUCACAGAAUUGGGAAAGGUUUCCUUUUGUACAUUAACAUUCUAGGAAAACACAUUAUAAAAAUAGAAAAAGGAUCAGUUCAGGAGGAAAAGAGAGGGCAAUACACAGUAAAGAUGGGGGAUAGAGGUAUACAGGAGGGAGAAUCUUAUACGUGGGGAUCCAUGAACAAGCAGAUAGAAAAUUUAAUAAAAAGAUUAUGGGGUGGUAAGCAAGACAAAGCAACUAAAAAGGGGGAGGCAGAAUUGAGGACAAGAAUUAGCUUAAUUCUGGAGGAGCAAGGGUACAAACCAGACACAUGAGGGGUUAAAUUGGCCACCUUAAUAUGGGAUCAGUGGAGAAGGGCAAAAGCAGAACAGGAUAGGGCCCAGAAGCAACUAGAGAAGGCUAGUAUUCUAGCUAAAAAAUAUGGAAGUUCAGAAUACAAAGCACUUGUGCCUAUAAAAAAAUAAAAAAUCCAGCUACUGUCCGCAUUUCCUAUUGUAUUGCAUAUUGUAUUUAAGUGUAAACUGAGUUUAUCAUUCAGCGAUAUGCCAAAUUAUUUAUAUUCUUUUUUUUAGACUCUGAAUGGGGGAUACUGCUAGGGUAAUAAAAUAAAGUUCUAAAUCAAUAUUAUAAUAUAAGAUCAUGAGCAUGAGUUUUCAUGGCAUUUAAAACUAGAUUGGGCUUAUACAAUGUCACAUGUAAAACAUUUAAUGAGCUCUAUAGUUUUCUUGCUGCAGCACAAACAGAAUCAGCUGAGCAAUAUACAAUUGUGUAAUCUGCAUAAUAGUGAAUUUUGCAGUCUGAGGUAGAAGCAGAGCCAGCAAUAUAAUUUAGGAAUAUAUUAAACAAAACCGGACUAAAGAUUUAACCUUGUGGUACACAUUUAAGAUACAGAUGCUAAAUCUGAUUUAUAAUUAUUCAAUGACAUGCAUUGUUUUAGUUUUGGGUCCACUCCAGAGCAGUUUUAUCAAAGCCAAUCAUUUCUAAAUUCUUUAAAAGAGGUAUGGGAGUAAAGGUAAUAGUGAUGGUAAUAAAUAAAAUAUGUACAUAAUUAAUAAACUAUGGGUACGUGGGGCCUUGCACAGGCUUUCACGGGCAACACCAGCUAGUGCAUUUAUGACAGUACGACGUACCUGGGUUUGCGCUCCCUAACUGUGCCCUGCAGGAACACUACAGCACUAAAUGUUGAUAAAACUGUGCUGCUACGCUGUGUGUGGUUCAGUGGGAUAGGCUGGUUAGCCAAAGACGGGUAAGAUCCCAACAUAUGACAAAGGGACAACCUAAGGCAGGCACAGUCUCGAUCUGACCACCACAUGCAAUUCAACAGACCAUGGAGAAAUAUCUCUGAAGUGUUCCAAGAAGGGAAGAGGAGUUGACAAUGCAGGGGGAGAAAAGGGAGGCGCAGGCAAAGGGGUGUGUCUCCGUGAAAGUCUGGGCAUGGUGGCCUGGCCCAAAGGACAAUUGGAGCAAAUUUGUGGUAAAUUUCUGCAACAGAACGAAGUUCUGUUUCAGAAAAAGGGGGAAAUAUAAAUAGAUCCAUUGUUACCUUUACCACCAUUAGUUUAACCAUUAUUUUUUGGGCAAUUCAAAAACUUUUUGCUUUUUUCAGCUUUGGAAAUUUUUAGGUUAUCAGUUUUUAAACUUUUUGGCUGAUGAAACCACCACUAUGCAGAUGGGCAAUUGCUUUCAGUAAAGGUAAAAAAAAAAAAAAAAAAAAAAAAAAACCUAACUUUAACUAAACUUUUAAGACACACCCAAUCCUAAUUUUAAAUACAAAAUAUAAACAGUACAUGACAUGCUCAAUCCUGAUUUUAAAAUAAGAAAUAAAGAUAGUUACAAAUUUAGGAAAUGUGUGGGUUUAAUAAAUUGUUUAAGUAAGUGUCAGUAGAGUAAAUGAGUAUGAAGAGUAGUUAUUUAUCACAGGAAAAAAAAAAACUUAAAACACUAAAUAAAACAAACUAGAUCUGGAAAUCAGGUUUUCAUAAAAUCUCUGACAAAAUAACAUAAGACAAGUAAAUAGCACACUGAGGAAAAAGUGGGAACGAGAUACAGGACAUGCGGACAGAAGCAGGAAAAUGUAAAAUAUAACUGUCUAUGUGAUUAGUUGGAGUCAUGGGGAGUAGUUAGAAGAAAGGGACUGUGUGCAGGGGAAGGCGUGUGAGCCAAAGGAGGAUAAUAAUUGAUAAUUUGGAUAAUUAGAGGUAGCAAUUAAAUGGAAAGAAACAGCAAAAUGUUAGGAAUCUGAAAGCACCUGUGACAGUGAACUGAGAAUCAGGACACUUGAAGGAGGUAAGAAAACAACAAUUGGGCUAAAAUCUGUGCACAGACAAAAUUUAGAGCUACUUCCCUUAGAAAGUUAAAUUGGAGCUCCAGUCUAUUAUGAUAAAUGUCCAUUAACCAACUUAAUUUGCAGGAAGGAGACAUGAAGGACCACAUAAAAGACUUUCAAAUGGAAUAGAAACCCUGAAACACCCAACAACAUGUGUUCAAUGAAUAUAAAUAAGUCUCGUUUCAGAUUUUACACAACAGGUGGGAGAAAAAGCUGAGGAGGUGACGGCUUGGACCAUUCCAGUAGCAAAGGGGGUCUUAUUUCGCCACUACAAGAGAAAAGGGAAUGAGCCUCGCUGGAUUUGGCCAUUCCGGAUGACAGAGAAAACAAUGCACACAGUCCGGAUGAAGGGCAGAGGGUCCACCUGGUACCAGUGGAGCCAGUUCACCACAUCAGCAGCACCACCUGAGAGAUCACAGUCAGAGGCAGAGAGAGACGCAAGAGCAGCAAAGGCGUCUGACCCAGCUUAAGGCCGGCAGCAGGAGGGAGGGGUGACGUCCCUCGCAGCAGGGGCCUCAAAGCAGCAGCAACACCAGCAAGAAGGGGACCCUUUCCCCGCAGCACAGGGGUCUCACUCACAGCGAGUGAGUGAGAGAACUCACUACACACAGCAGUAAUUUGUUGCGUCAAAACCCAGCACACACAGAGACAUUACACAUCUCACUAACACAUUCACAUAGUCUCACCUCACAAAACAAUUCACCUACACUGAUAAACAGAGGCAGAAUAAACCCUCUUACGUGCAAUAGAGCUGGGACAGUCUACUCCCAUGCUCUGAAGAACAGAAGAAAGAAGAAAAGAAGCAGACGAAAUGUGUUCUGGACAACUGUAUUGUUUGAUUUUCUUUUGGUUUAUUGUUAUAAUUUUUAUGGCUGGCAGUAUUUACUCUAAUAGUUUUAGUGGAAACUCGAUGUCUUAAAGUGAAUAAAUCAGUAGGAGUAGAAAGGGGGUUCCACUCAACCUAAGAACAGGAAAGUCAAAAAUACAGAGCGUUCAGCUGGAAAAGCCAACUUACUGUUCUUCUUCUUCUUUUUAUUAUUAUUAUUAUUAUUAUUAUUAUUAUUAUUAUUAUUAUUAUUCUACUUUUAUAUUUCUCAACGCUACUCCUCCUACAGUUUUUUAUAUACACUGUAAAACCCGAUAAGUUGACUAAACUCAAAACUUUUGUUGUAACCGAUUACCUAAUAAAAAUUUAAGUUCAUGUAAUAUAA